AUUGAACGCUGGCGGCAGGCCUAACACAUGCAAGUCGAGCGAGCGGCGGACGGGUAAGUAAUGUCUGGGAAACUGCCUGAUGGAGGGGGAUAACUACUGGAAACGGUAGCUAAUACCGCAUACCAUCAGAUGUGCCCAGAUGGGAUUAGCUAGUAGGUGGGGUAACGGCUCACCUAGGCGCCGAUCCCUAGCUGGUCUGAGAGGAUGACCAGCCAAACGGGAACGGAGAAACGGUCCAGACUCCGACGGGAGGCAGCAGGGGGGAAUAGUGCACAAUGGGCGCAAGCCUGAUGCAGCCAGGCCGCGUGUGUGAAGAAGGCAUUCGGGUUGUAAAGCACGUGCAGCGGGGAGGCGUGACCCGCAGAAGAAGCACCGGCUAACUCGGUGCCAGCAGCCGCGGUAAUUC
rnacentral:rRNA from 1 species